UACAAAUAAAAUGACAAAAACAAUGCAUUGUUUUUACAGUGCAAGGACCUGCUACCAAAACAAAUGCAUCCAGACUAGCAUAAGCUCCCACUUCCAAGUCAAGCAAGUGACAACAAAACUCCCUUCCAAAGCUAGUUCACGAUGAAAAAACCNNNNNNNNNNNNNNNNNNNNNNNNNNNNNUAGUCACAUUAUGCACACCAGUAACUUAAUCAGCCCAUCUUCCAAUCCUCAAAAAACUUUGGGAGUAAUCCUCAGAUACUUUGAAGGCAGUAAAGAGGAUUAGCACACCAGUUAUAAUAUAGAUGAUCUGCUCUACGGCCUGCUCUACCACUAAACCAAAGCCACGAGAUGAAUUUAAUGGAAUCAACCAACGCAGAAUAGUUCGUCGUCUCUCCUCUGAACAAGAUAUUAUUCCUCAUGCGCCAAAUACACCAAGUUGUGGCUAACCAAAUCAAGUGCCUAACUUUCAUUCCCUUCUUCACUUUAACUAAGGAUCCAAACCUCAAAAAAUGUAUCCAGCCCCCUUUUUGAUGAUUGUAAUCAAAACCCAACCACAAAAAAAUUUGCCUCCAUACUUCAUAGAUUUUAUGACAGCUAAAAAAAACAUGGUUGCAGUCUUCCACUACUUGAAAACAGAAAACGCAAGAUAAAUCAUGAGAAUUGGUUAAAAUACCUUUAGAUGCUAGGGCUGCACGGGUAGGAAGUUUCUCAAGAAGCAAGCGCCAACCAAAGACUCCUACUUUUGACGGAACAUCAUUCUUCCAUAAUUUGCGCAAAGCAUAAGUUAAAUCUGAUGCUAAAUGGAUCGGAGCCGAUCGGGAGUGCAAGAAAAUAUAGGCAGAUUUGACACUAAAAAUACCUGAACCAGUCAAUGUCCAACGCCAUCUAUCUUCCCUAUCCAAAUACAAAUUCAGACCAAACAAAAGUUGCUCAAGAGCAGCCUUCUCUGCACCUUCCUCUUGAGAUAAAGUUUCCAGCCAAUCUGAAUUCCAAAGUAGCACACAGUUGCUUGCUUGAAUUAAACUAGAAACCACGCGAUCUUUAUGUAGCUCCUUUUCAAAUAAAAGUGGAAAAGAAUCCCGUAAAGGAGCAUCACCAAACCAUUUCUCUUUCCAAAAACAUAUAGAAUCACCCUUGCCCAAAAUGCUACUGACAUUUAAAGGGAACCAAUAAUCAUCAGCCCUCCCGCCUACUCCCGCCACAUCUCUCCACCAAAUC
rnacentral:lncRNA from 1 species